AAAGCUUUAAGUUAAAUAAACUAUUAACCUUCAAAGUUAAAAACGCAGAACUAUUAUCUGUAAGCUUUA
rnacentral:tRNA from 1 species